UCACAGUACUUACUUAACAUAUUUCUUAGUAUAUACUUCACUCGACAUAUUUCAAAGUACAUACUUCCCUGAUAUAUUUCAUUCUACUUUAUUGAAAUAUAAAUGUUCUUUAUAGAUGGAAAGUUUUUUUUCAUGAGAAACCUUUGAAAACUAAAUGCAACAGAAAAUUAUCUUGAGACCAUAACCAUGAGAAACAGGCAGAGAAAGAAAUAACCUGGGGUAUAUACACACGCAAACACGCACAUAUAGCUGAACAGCUCAAUGUUAAUGGCGUUGGAGAGCAUAAAUAUUAAAGGUGUCAUUGAGAAAAAGUUAGCUGAGAUAGAGGACUGGAAACUAUCUCGAUAUUGGAAAAGAGUUACCUGCAUCAUUAUGAUUCAUGUCAAAAUGAUGACAUCAUGACUGCUGCUCAAUGCUCCAUGAACAUCGUAAAGGUUGUAAGACAUGACAUGGACAGCUGCAACAGAGACUACAAAGCCGAGGUCAGCAGGAAGGGACAGAGUGAAUGUUCUGGCUAUGUCCUCAUGACAGAAUUCAUCCAACAUCUUUGAACAGAGCCUUAAUUCAGACAGCUAUGUGAAGCUGUUGGGACUACCUGCAGAGGUAGGUAGGCCAAAUAUGUGGCAGCAGGAUUUGGCCUCUUGCCAUACUUUUGGAAAGAGUAAGAAGUGGUUGUUGAAGAAUUUCUAUGACUUCACCAGCCCCAAUUUCUGAUCCUCCAGUUAACUUGACUGUAAUCCCAUGGAUUACUAUGAACACAGUUGAGUAAGAUAUCAAUCACUCUACCAGCAAGAAACACCAAAGCUGAGCUGAUGACCAAAAUCAAGGAGGUUUGAAGAUCUUCCCAGGGACACAGUGAGGAAUGCGUGCCAAGUUCCAGAGCUGUUUUGAGACCAUAGUGGAAGUUUAUAGUGGUUACUUUAAGUAAGCUGUUAUCUUCUAGCCAUAAUCUAGUUGAUAUUUUUGAUUUUUUAAAAAUACUUUUAUUUUCAGAUAGGAUAUUUUCUUUAUCCUUUUAUGAAAACUGUCAAAUUUAUCACAAACAUCCUAUGUUUUAUUGUGUCUGGAGAGAGUCAUUCUCUUCUAGUGCCUUAUUAUUUAACACACUCACAGGUUCAAUUUCCACUCAUUUACUUAUUUAUUUUUCCUAAAAUUUUGCUGCAUCUUGCAACCUUUUCAAUAGUCAUUGACUCUGUCCAGUAUUUGAACUGUGUUCUUUUUGUUUGUUUUUUGCACAUGUCUAUUGUAAUUCCCAAAUUUGUGUGCAUGUAUAUUGUAACUUCCAAACUGAGAACUGUUGCUUUAGAUUAUGUCACUGAAAGGAAUAAGCAAGAAUUUGUUUCUAAAUCUUACCAUAUUGUUUCUAUUACUAUAACAAUAAAUAUAAAAACUCAUGGAAACAAUAUGUGCAUUAAGGCAAUAUGACACUCAGAGAGAAAGAUCUUUCUCAUCUCGUUAACCCUUUUGUUACUAUAUUUCUAUUGAAAUAAAUUACCUUCAUUUCAGUUAAUUUUUUAAAUAAUGAAGAAUUUAGUAAAAUAACUUUGCCAUUAUUAAGUUAGUGUUUGAAACAUAAAGUAAUAUGAAAUUUUGAUGGAAGUCUUUAAUUUAGACCGUUUUAAAACAGAAAGUUUGCAUUAUAGAACCAGGAUGGCCAUGGGCAUUAAUUAAACAAUUUUGUACAAUAGUAGCUUUACCUCUCAACUACUGUGCCCUAUAUUCAUAAUUUUUGUUUAAUAAAUAAGCAUGGCUAUGUGGUUAAAAAGCUCACUUUGAAAUCACAUACUUUUGGGUUCAAUCCUGUCGUAUAGCACUUUGAACAAGUAUCUUACACUAUAUCCGAGGGGCCAACCAGUGCCUAUGGAGUAAAUUUGAUUGAUGAAAAUCAUGUGGAAGCCUGUUAUACAUACAUACAUACAUACAUACAUACAUACAUACAUACAUACAUACACACACACAAACACACACACGCACACACGCACACACACACACACACACACACACACACACACACACAUCGGCCACUAAGGAAAUUAUCUCCUUUGUCAGUCAUUAAGACAGUGCAUUUGUGGCUAUUGAGUCGUUUUGACUGUUAUUUCUAGUAAUGCCGGUACCACUUAGUAUCCUUUGUCACUUUCGUGAUGUCUAUAAAUUUGCAUUUAGGUUGUUAAAUUGCUAAUAAGCCACCCAAUUUAUUUAUAGUUUCCACUUUAACCGUUUUUGAAAUCAGUGUAAGGGUUCAACUGUUUUCAUAUAAGCUGACAAAAUGAGUUGAGUUUAACGUUAGGCACGGUAAGAGCCACUGAGAAUCAUGAUGUUCUGUAUCAAAAUUCGAAAUCACCAUUGAUCUGGCUAUGUCUGCGAGGGAGCUUGUCUCCCUUGUCAGUCAUUAAGACAGUGCAUUUGUAGCUAUUGAGUCGUUUGACUCUUAUUUCUUGCAAUGCCAGUAUCAUUUAGUACCCUCUGUCACUGUAAUAACGUCUAUAUAUGGUAGUGUGAAAUGGAGACACUUACACACUUGGUAACUACUAGCCUUCUAUAAAAAAAAUUUAUCUGGUAGUGGGCUUCCACACAGUUUCCAUUUACCAAAUUCCACUUCCAUAUUACUGGUCAACUCAAGGCUAUAGUAGAAGACUUAUCAAAAUUGGUAUAUUGGUAUCAAAUCAAGACCCAAUCUUAACUACACAGUUAUGCUUAUGCCUUCAAAUUUGUAAGACGACAUAGUGUUAGUUGAAUUAUCUCAGUUAAAGUAAGAGUGAUAGCAAAAUCAGCCCCUUCCAGAUUUGUACUCAAAAAUGCAAACAUGGAAGUUAAAGAAAACAGCUUUCGUCAUCAGUACAGAAAUACUUCAGUUCUCAAUAACUGCAUUAACCACUAACCCUCGACAAAGGGGAGACCCACAAUGGAAUACUGUCCCCUGUUGCUGCUACAUGCACAGAUAACUUAGAAAACAUCCAAAGGAAGGUUAUCUGUUUGAUUGGCAUUGUUAAUCAAUCAGUUAGCCAUUAUUGCAUUUUCAACUCCAAUACUGAAACAUUAUGUAUCUUCAGUUAAACAAA